GUUUGAAGAUCAAACGAAUUUUCCUUCACAUGCCCUGAGGUGCUUCCCAAGGAAUGAGGCGAGAAGAUUAGAGAAAAUUUCAUCUUAAGAUGACACCCAAUUCAGGAGAAAUGGCUCAUCGUUUGCUGGCUCCAGAGAAAAUUUGACUGGCUGCGACCCAUCUGUCAUUAUCUGGUCUACAUUCACUCUAGAUUGAACCUCCUCAGAAUGUCACUCCACAACGAGAUUACUUCCCUCAAACCAAAUGUGGCAACCCUGACCCAAUGUUUAUUCACCUGUUCAGUAAAGAACGCGCCAAUUCCGGUCCUUGACCAACACUCCAAUCUUCAUUGAUUGUGGGUGUUUGUCCAACACGUUGCUGGGAACUGGAAAUGGGAUGGUCACCAAUGCCAGGACCGAGUUGCCAUCUUCAUAUUCAUUGUCCAAACCACUUGAAAAGUGACCAACCAUCAACAAACCAUACCAUUCCUCACCAGGGCCACAGGAACUUAGAACUUGAGUUUGCGAAUCGUCGGACGUCUUGAUUGGCCUCAAUCUGAAUGGUGUUCUGCCAAUCUUUUAAAAUACAACUGCCCAGCAUCCAUAGCAGUUCAUACCCCUCAGUACAAAGUGUAUUGUUUGUCCAUGAAGAGAGAGAGAGAAAGAGAGCUAUGCAGACGGAGUGAGACCCUCAUCGAUCCCGGUUCCAAAGCCCACCACCAAUUCCAUCACCAUCAGCACCCUCUACCCAGACUACCAUCCACACUUCAAGAGCAAGAGACCACCCUCAAGAUUUUUUUUCUUUCAACAAUCUUCAAGUGCCUUUUCAGCAGAACGAGGCAAGAAAAUCAAUCUCCAGCGAAUUCUGUUGGGACUCAUGUCUUGGGAAAAUGAAAUCGUCAAAUGUG